rnacentral:ncRNA from 1 species
UGUGAUGGGAGCGAGCUGAAAGCAGUCUGGAUCAAAGGCACGAAGUAGGAACAAGAACAGGCAACGAGGCAGGGGGGGGCGAUGAGCAUGCCGGCAAAUGCGAAAUCCGAAUGUCACCGAAAGCCAUAUCAAAUAGAGCCUGACCCUACGGGGCGAAAGUUCA